UACAGAGGGUGCGAGCGUUAAUCGGAAUUACUGGGCGUAAAGCGUGCGUAGACGGCUAUCUAAGUCGGGUGUGAAAGCCCCGGGCUCAACCUGGGAAUUGCAUUGGAUACUGGGAAACUUGAAUACGGGAGAGGGUAGUGGAAUUCCUAGUGUAGGAGUGAAAUCCGUAGAUAUUAGGAGGAACACCGGUGGCGAAGGCGGCUACCUGGACCGAUAUUGACGCUGAGACGCGAAAGCGUGGGGAGCAAACAGG
rnacentral:rRNA from 1 species